CAGGAGGCUGAGGAACAUUUGGGUUGGGUGUUGGAGCUGUGCUGGCUUUGUUUAUUUCUUUUCAUCAGUUAGAUUCUGUAGGGCAGCCUUAGCGGGGAGCUGCUGUCUCAGACGGUCAACGUGGCUGGCAGGGAGUCUUCCUGGGUUGUCAAGUCGACACCUUAACUCAGAUAGGCUCAGCACAACCGGAUUUGUUUAGCAGAAUUGAUGGGAUCCCACAAGCCUUGAUGGAUUUAACCAGCCAAAUGACAAGUAUAACUCCUAUGUCCGCGGCUCCGCUUCCCCUCUCAGGGAACAUGGUUACCGCUGCUUCCUUCUUGAGUCCAGGGAAACUUCCGCCUGCAGCCGGAACCCUUUUACGGAAAGGUGGAGGACUGUGGUGGUUUCUUCCUGCAAUGUCGGCUAAUUAUUUCACAACCGCCAAGGAAUCCAUAACCACAAGUGGUCGCCAGAAUCAGCCUCAGCCCGGAUCCCCCAUUCUGUCUUCUCCUGCGGUCACACCUCGAGCCUCUGCCGUUGCUUCUGUUCCUCGGACCUCCGCUUCAGAGGGCUGCACAUUCCUUUGGAGGAACCCACCAGUGACGCUACCAGCGUCUGCCUCACGCCAGGGACCUACCUCAAGCCCUGCUCACGCUCUGCCUCCAGAAUCUACCAUUAAAUCUCUGACCUGCCA